UCCUGGCUCAGGAUGAACGCUAGCUACAGGCUUAACACAUGCAAGUCGAGGGGAAACGACAUCGAAAGCUUGCUUUUGAUGGGCGUCGACCGGCGCACGGGUGAGUAACGCGUAUCCAACCUGCCCAUCACUUGGGGAUAACCUUGCGAAAGUAAGACUAAUACCCAAUGAUAUCUCUAGAAGACAUCUGAAAGAGAUUAAAGAUUUAUCGGUGAUGGAUGGGGAUGCGUCUGAUUAGCUUGUUGGCGGGGUAACGGCCCACCAAGGCGACGAUCAGUAGGGGUUCUGAGAGGAAGGUCCCCCACAUUGGAACUGAGACACGGUCCAAACUCCUACGGGAGGCAGCAGUGAGGAAUAUUGGUCAAUGGGCGAGAGCCUGAACCAGCCAAGUAGCGUGCAGGAUGACGGCCCUAUGGGUUGUAAACUGCUUUUAUAAGGGAAUAAAGUGAGUCUCGUGAGACUUUUUGCAUGUACCUUAUGAAUAAGGACCGGCUAAUUCCGUGCCAGCAGCCGCGGUAAUACGGAAGGUCCGGGCGUUAUCCGGAUUUAUUGGGUUUAAAGGGAGCGUAGGCCGGAGAUUAAGCGUGUUGUGAAAUGUAGACGCUCAACGUCUGCACUGCAGCGCGAACUGGUUUCCUUGAGUACGCACAAAGUGGGCGGAAUUCGUGGUGUAGCGGUGAAAUGCUUAGAUAUCACGAAGAACUCCGAUUGCGAAGGCAGCUCACUGGAGCGCAACUGACGCUGAAGCUCGAAAGUGCGGGUAUCGAACAGGAUUAGAUACCCUGGUAGUCCGCACGGUAAACGAUGGAUGCCCGCUGUUGGUCUGAAUAGGUCAGCGGCCAAGCGAAAGCAUUAAGCAUCCCACCUGGGGAGUACGCCGGCAACGGUGAAACUCAAAGGAAUUGACGG
rnacentral:rRNA from 1 species